UCGACGUAACGACUGUACGACUGUACCGUCGCGCGAGGACGGGCUGCGCCCCGUGAUUGGCUCCGCCGCCGCAGCUGCGCAGGAGCCCACCCCCCUCAGAGGUACCCGCUCCCACCUCUGCCUGACUCGCGCUCCCUGUUAGCAAGUUUCCCCUGAGGCGGGCCUGGAAGGUGCGCGGCUGAAAUCCGUUCCCAUCGGCCUCAGAUGUAGCCUCAGGGUCUCUUAGAGCCCCUGGCUUCCUCUCAUUCGCGACAACCUGAGCCAGAAGCCAUCACUACCACCCCACCACCACCUAUUUUUUUUUUUUUUAACCUACCAUCCCGUCUUCAUUCCCUUCGCUCAUCUCUUCUGACGUCUGUCGUGAUGAAACUGCAGUUAGCCGCUGUCUCACCUCUGGACACCUUUGCCGAGGCUCUGUGAUAUUAAUGAAGCAAGUCAGGACUAGAUGAACUGUGACCUCUGUGGCCUCCUCAACAUAUUUUUGAGCAUUUUACUGAUCACCACUGUGCAUACCAAGAUCUGAGGAAAUGGAGCUACCACAACUCCUGGACGUGGCUGUGCAGCCCCUGAGUGUGAUUCUGACAACAGUGUGACAAAAUCCUGUGGCCCGUUGCUCCCACCCAUAUGAGAGAGACAUGGUAAUGUAUGAUGUAUGCACACAGUGGCUAGCAAUGGGUCAUUUGUUCUUUUGCUCAAUGACCUUUCAUUCCUGUCCUUAGCUUACCAUGGUCAAUUUGACUGUCAUUGUUCUGUGGGGUGGGGGGGUGGUAAUUUGGUGUACUUUUGUUUUAUUGUAUCAUAGUUUGCAUUUUGCCUGUCAGCAAAAUUAUAGAGAUUUUAAGUAGAGGUUUGGUUACAAAUUUGCAAGGUUUCUUUUAGAAAGGAUACCAUCAGGACAUUUUUUGAAAAUUUCUCAACAAUCAUUACUUUUUCUUUGAAACAGUAUAACUUGUCCUUUGAAUGGAUUACUUUAUCAUUAGAAGAUAAAACAAUGAUGAGAUGAAAAAAACAGGGGCCCAUGUGCCAGUUCAACUACUGACUCUGGAUGUUAAAAAUUAAAAAUGUGAGCAAAACGUUGACUCUGGUCAAUAAGUAGAACUUCAUUUGAAGUUUUUUUCUAAAAAAUAAAAAGUCAGUUUAAACUUUAAUGAUGAAGAUUACUUAAAAUAUGGGCUUUAUCUAACAUACAAAUCUUUUGAAAUGACAGAAUCCAGUGGAUGUUUUAAUUAUAUUUUUUUUCAAUAAAUCCCUCAAGAGUUUUUGAAUAAGGAGGAAAAGACAUCAACUAUUGACAAAAUUUCUAAUUUGAGAUGUGUUCAAUGUAUUGGUUAAGAAUGAAACUUUGAAGUUAUUUUCAUAGGGUUUGAACUCUAGGACUUCCUCCUACAGCCCGUGAGACCUUGGACAAAAUUACUCUCUGUACCUCAUUUCCUUAUUUAUAAAAUAAAAAUAAUAAUGGUAAUUAGCUCAGAGUGUUGCUGUAAUGAGAGCGUAUCUGAAGCCUCUAGAAAAGAGCUCAUCCACAAGGAAUGCUACAUAUAGCAUUAUGUAUAGGUGUUUGUUUUUUAUAUUGUUAGUCAUUCUACAACAUGUAAUAAGGAAGCCUUAUUCUCAUACACAGUUACAUAUUGGAUAGCAAAAGAGAAAAUGGAACAUGCAGCUCCUAAAAAAUAUUAUUCUUUCUGUAUGUAUAGAUAUAUAUAGUGUGCAUAAUUUUUUAAAGAUUUGUUUAUUUAUCUGAAAGAGUCACAGAGAGGCAGAGGGAGAAAGAGAGAGACAGAGACAGAGAGAUGGAGGGAGGGAGGGAGAGAGAUUCACUCCCCAAAUGUCUGCAACGGCGGAGCUGGGAUGAUCUGAAGCCUGGAGCCAGGAGCUUCUUCCAGGUCUCUCACUUGGGUGCAAGAGCCCAAGGAUUUAGACCAUCUUCUACUGCUUUCCCAAGCCAUAGCAGAGAGCUGGAUUGGAAGAGGAGCAGCUGGGAAUAGAACCAGCGCCCAUAUGGGAUGCCAGCACUGCAGGUGGCGGCUUUACCUGCUACACCACGGUGCUGACCCCAGUGUGCAUAAUUUUUAAGUAAAAAUUAGAAGAUAAAAUUAAAAUUCUUCCUCUUAGUGAAAACACGGUAUCAUUGUACAGAACAAGCAGGCUGCUAUAGAUUUUGAAAUCCAACGUGAGGCUACUGACUCUACAAGAGAAUCAGUACUUUCAGUUAUAUCAGAUAUAUGUGGUAAGAUAAUUCAUGGUGAAUUUAAUAAGUUUAAUAUCACAUAACUGAUUUAAAAACAGUUACAAAAAGAUAAGAGUACAUUAUUGAUCAAUAUGAAUUAAUCAACAGCACUGUAAGGGAUGAAAAAGUCUAGUACAAUAAAUACAACUGGAAAACUUGGUGGAGUUGGAUGCUAUUUAUAGUGGUGCUUUAUGGAAUCCAUUUUAUGUGUCUUGGGUGUGAGCAUCUAAACAUGUUCUCCCAAGUAUCACAGACAAAAGGAAUAUUAAAGGUACCUCAUGGGACAGGUGAUACUUUAUUUAGAGAUUAGAGAUAAUCAUAUCCACAUACUGUAUCAUUCCAAAAUUUACUGGUUGUUAUGAGGCAGGGUGCUAAGCAGCGCAUAUGAACUCUGUAAUAAGAUUCAUAUUUUUCUAGAUAAAAAGCAAAUCUUUUGGCAAUUGUGUCAAAGGUGAUGUUGGUUAACAAGAUUGGUAUAUCUAACUGAUUUUUUCAGCAUUCUUAACAAGCUAAAUUUGAAACCAUAGAGAAAAGCCAACAAAAUACUCAACAUAGGGAUUUCAGAAGACUUGAUUUGCUUCUUAAGUAAGAUUUAAGUAAUCUCUCUAUCUACUAAAUGUUCCCAAUGGUGUUAUAGUGUAUUAGAGAAAACAUUACUAAUAAAUA